CCUACGGGAGGCAGCAGUGAGGAAUAUUGGUCAAUGGGCGCGAGCCUGAACCAGCCAAGUCGCGUGAGGGAAGACGGUCCUAUGGAUUGUAAACCUCUUUUGUCGGGGAGCAAAAGACGCCACGCGUGGCGUUCCGAGAGUACCCGAAGAAAAAGCAUCGGCUAACUCCGUGCCAGCAGCCGCGGUAAUACGGAGGAUGCGAGCGUUAUCCGGAUUUAUUGGGUUUAAAGGGUGCGUAGGCGGACGCUUAAGUCAGCGGUAAAAUUGCGGGGCUCAACCUCGCUCCGCCGUUGAAACUGGCGUUCUUGAGUGGGCGAGAAGUAUGCGGAAUGCGUGGUGUAGCGGUGAAAUGCAUAGAUAUCACGCAGAACUCCGAUUGCGAAGGCAGCAUACCGGCGCCCAACUGACGCUGAAGCACGAAAGCGUGGGUAUCGAACAGGAUUAGAUACCCUUGUAGUC
rnacentral:rRNA from 1 species